GACGAACGCUGGCGGCGUGCCUAAUACAUGCAAGUCGAACGCAGUUGCGAACGGGUGAGUAACGCGUAGGUAACUGCCUCAUAGCGGGGGAUAACUAUUGGAAACGAUAGCUAAUACCGCAUACUGUGCGAUGGACCUGCGUGGUAUUAGCUAGUUGGUGAGGUAAAGGCUCACCAAGGCGACGAUACAUAGCCGACCUGAGAGGGUGGUCGGCCACACCGGGACUGAGACACGGCCCAGACUCCUACGGGAGGCAGCAGUAGGGGAUCUUCGGAAAUGGACGGAAGGCUGACCGAGCAACGCCGGGUGAGGGAAGAAGGGUUUCGGAGCGUAAAGCUCUGUUGUUAGGGAAGCGGUAACUAACGAGAAAGGAACGGCUAACUACGUGCCAGCAGCCGCGGUAAUAC
rnacentral:rRNA from 1 species